AGGGCGUAUACGAGGCCGUGCUCGGGGCCGAGGUCGCCGAGACACUGGGUUACGAACCGGGGCGGGAGAUCGUCGUCUCCCACGGUCUG
rnacentral:tRNA from 1 species